GUUAAGGUGGCAGAGCCCGGUAAUUGUAUAAAGCUUAAACCUUUAUGACCAGAGGUCCAAAUCCUCUCCUUAACA
rnacentral:tRNA from 1 species